ensembl:lncRNA
UAAGUAUCACUAAAUCAAGGGUUUAUGUAGAUCCUAAAGCAGUACCUCUUCCCUCACUCAAAAUCCUCAUUAGAACUUCAACCACAAUGUUUGUUACGCAAGGUAUGAAGCACUAUAAUUAUACUGCUUUGCUAAUGGCAUUAUAUUUUACUUCUCUGGAGACACGUCUGCUAAACAUAGCUGAAGUCAUGAUCUUACAGUGAGCACUUAGCAGUCUCUACAGCAGGAAUGACUGGAUUCAGUGUUUGAAAUACUCUACAAUUUUGCCGGGGUGGGCUCAUAAACAGUGUAUGGAUUGCCACGAGAAAAAAAAUGCCAUAUCCUCUUGAAGAAAAAAAAAAUAAUCACAAUUGUCUGGUUGUUCCAAAAGCCCACACAGUGAACAAGUGCUUAUCUCAUUCAAUAUUUUUACAAGCAAACAAUAUAAAAAACUGUGACGGAUUUCAAGAGCUGAGAUUUUACCUUGAAUAUCCAAUGUAAUAAGCAGACAUGGUAUAUACAUGCACACAAUUACACAAGCACACUAAAUACCUGGAAAAUCAUAGUAUAUUUGCUUUAUUUCCCAGAGUCCUUUGCAAGGCUGCAGGGAGUAGCUGUGCCUUUACUUGACCUGUUCUUCAAUCUCCUGACAGCUGUCAAUCUGUUCAACUCUUUUGUCACAUUGAGUUGUCUUGAAUGCAUGUGUGCAUGAACAGCUUUUUUUUUCAAUGCAUUUUCUGUUUGCAUUACCCACCAUGCAGCAAAUAUGCUUUAAUAUGCUUUGCUAGGUCUUUAGCGUGCAUGUGUAAUUGUGUGCACGUAUAUAUAUGCAUGUCCGCGUGUCUGCUCGCUAUAGGCUCUAGGCAGCAGCCGGCGCAGUCAAAGGCGGUCUAAUAUUAGCACCUAACUGAUGGCUUGCUGUAUCUGGACGAAAGAGGGUGAUAAAUGAGGAUAGCAGUGGUGGGGCCAUGGAGCCGAGGGGGAAAUUUAAAAGGGAUAGCAUCUCGUUUUACAGCCGAAAAGCCUACAUGCAUGUCCCAUCUGCAUCAUAAAGUAUAUAAUGCUCAAUCUACAUGUGACACCUAGAGAUUAGCCAGAGACUACGAGAUCAUGAAGCAAGUGAAAGAAAGAGAGGAAGAGGGCAGUAUGGUGCUGGUUUGCUUUCCCGCCGCUCCGGUCGCUGAUUUGAUCCCAUGCAAUGUUGUCCGUCGCUAGCUUCCCUACUUGCUCGGCUUGUCCCUCCCCCAUCGGCUCUGGAUCCUCUCCCCCCUCGCUCUGCCCAAGCCUGGGGGAGCCAGUGGAGAUUAAAUGUAGCCUCUAUGAGCCAAGCACAUCAUGUAGCUGUGUUUCUAGGGCCUCUCACUCUCUGUCUUUUUCCCUCACUUUCAUUCUCUUUUUAAAGGAUAGUGUUUAUGAUGCUGGGCAUGUGAUAGAGAAAUUCCAGAAUGUCAAUGUCACUGGAAAUACCAAAUGUAGGGAUAUUUUACAAGUAAAAAUCAAAGAGCAUAAAAAUCUAUGCCUUUUUCGACACUAUUUCUCUUUCUCCACCAACAUCCUCCCCCCUUUGAGUUGAUACUGAGGAGAAGUGGGCCUCUGGCUUUAAAUGAUUGCAGCUGUGCGAGCAAAUUAAUGGAUGAUAUUUCUCUGUUUUCCCCCCUUUCUACAACUUUUUUCAACAUGGAUUUAUAAAGAGGGAAAGAGGGACCAGGGGUGUCACGCUUCUACGUUUUCCCCUCCUCUUUCCAAUUUUGCAUAUAUCUCAGUCUGCUCAACUCAGAGAGAGAGGAAGAGUGUGCAUUUGUGUGUCCUAAGAGAGAGAGAGAGCAAGAGCGAGAGAGUUGACGAGGGAGGGAGAAAAUGAAAUGUAAGACAGAUACGGAGAGUGAAAGAGAAGAAGGGGGUGUGGAGAGAGCAAGCUAGCGAGUGUAGAGAGCCAGUAACGUGGUGCAUUGAUGCAUUUGCUGCGUCUCAGACGUGCUCUUUCGGCAGGACAUAGCCCAGGGUUUUUUUGGCUGCGGCAGGCUGCCGGUUUUCCAACAUCGAAUCGAGCCAGACCUGGAAUAGGGAUAUACGUGUGAACGGAGUUGCUGCAGCUGAGCAGCACUGGACGAGUGAGGUGAAGUGAAUGAGUGAGAGUCCUGUGCUGUGUGUGUGUGUUCACCCCCUCCUCUCCUGAGAUCCAGCAGACUGGCAUGAUUUGCUGGUGGUGUGGCCCUGGCUGCUGCUCGGACUGUCUCUCAUCCUCAGUGCCAUCACACCACCCUUCGGCUUUUUCUCAUCGGCACACUCUCCACCUCUGCCGGUUUUGUCGGCAAGCUGUAAUAUGGACGCUGCAAGAGAACGGUGAUCGGCUUCAUACUCAUCCUCAUCCUCGCACCAGGCUCAGGAAUGCACGGAUAGGCCUGUCCUCUUAUCCUCUGUCCCGGACCAUCCGUGGAGCUCACCGAGCAGAACAGUAUUCCUUUCACUGCACUCAGGUCAGUUGGUUCAUAUGAAGACGGCCUGGAAAUCCCCUGGGUUACAGUGGGAAUGUGCUGUUGGGUCGGACCUGUUCUGGCUCAUCUCAUCCCGCCUUACUGAACUCAGUAGCUGCUGUGGCUAAUGGUGUGAGAUUACCUGUGUAACAUUCGUAUUCAUUAACUUUUAGCUAGUAACUGAGUAAACUUUUUGAAUAACUGAUUAAACUAAAAGAGAUACAGGAAAGAUCUGAAAAAUGACUGGGACACAGAAUUUGCUUUAGGAGCCUGGGUGAGCCAUGAAUAUUAAUUAGGUGAUGUAACAUUCCAGCCAUAUUAGGAUUACUGCUUUCCAAUUGCACUUCUGCUCAACUGCCGAGGUCGUUGUAUGUGUCUGUCUGCAACAAAACAUAAAAUGACAAGCUCUUAAAAUUUGAUUAUUACUCUAAAAGUGGAUGGGGACAAAUCUAGAAAUUUCAAAAAAUGUAAGAACAUUAAACUGUAGCAGCUGUACUUAAGGUUGCCAAAAUUAUGCAGUUGAUUUGUUGAUCUGAACUGAAACUGUUUGAGUAAUGUUAUUAGUGGAAUGCCCUAUCAUAACUAUAUAGUGAUUAUCAUUGACAUAAUCAUUAAAACACUAGCAUUGAAAGGUCUGGGGUCAGUAAGAUUUUUAAAAUAAUAUUUCUUUAAAUGAAAUAAGUUUUUUAUUGCUCACUAAAGCUGCAUUUAUUUGAAUGAAAAUACAGUAAAACAUUAAUAUUGUGACAUUUAAAAUAACUAUUUUCUAUUUUAAUAUA